rnacentral:rRNA from 1 species
AUUGAACACUGGCGGAAUGCUUUACACAUGCAAGUCGAACGGUAGAGGGGGCAACCCCUCGAGAGUGGCGAACGGGUGAGUAAUAUAUCGGAACGUGCCCAGUCGUGGGGGAUAACGUAGCGAAAGUUACGCUAAUACCGCAUACGAUCUAAGGAUGAAAGCGGGGGAUCGCCAGACUUCGCGCGAUUGGAGCGGCCGAUAUCAGAUUAGGUAGUUGGUGGGGUAAAGGCUCACCAAGCCAACGAUCUGUAGCUGGUCUGAGAGGACGACCAGCCUCACUGGAACUGAGACACGGUCCAGACUCCUACGGGAGGCAGCAGUGGGGAAUUUUGGACAAUGGACGCAAGUCUGAUCCAGCCAUUCCGCGUGCAGGAUGAAGGCCCUCGGGUUGUAAACUGCUUUUGUACGGAACGAAAAGGUCUCUCUUAAUACGGGGGGCUCAUGACGGUACCGUAAGAAUAAGCACCGGCUAACUACGUGCCAGCAGCCGCCGUAA